GGUAGAGUGACAUGUCUGUCACAACCAUCUCUUUGUUCUCGUUUUAUUUUUACUCUCCUUCUGCAGCUCAAUAAAGAGACAAGUUUGGGCAUAUUUUUGUCUACUGAGUAGGGACAGAAAUUAGAUUACUAUGAGAAAGAUACAUUUGGUUGAAGAACUCUAAUGCCUCUAAGCUAAAAAGAAAACCAUGAGGUUAUUGGAGAUGAAGAUGAGAUAAAGACAACAGGAUACCCCAAACCUUGAUCCCUGGAUGGCUGCAAGGAUUUUGAGACCACUUUGAAGCUGUGUACAGAAGACUUUUCCACAGGCAUACACAACACCCUGCCUUCAUACCCUGAAGGAAUGAAAGCUGUUGACAUUACUUGGAAGAAAAUAAAGAACUUGAAUCUGUUUUUGUGCUAUACAGUAUCAAAUAUCCUGCAUUCUCGGAGUCAUUCUAGGAAGAAACAACCAGGAACAACUUGCUAUUAAAACUGGCUGAAGAACCACGUGAGAUUUCAGCCACCCCUGCUUUCCCAGUAAUCAAACAAUAGAAAAGGACAUUAUCAUCAUUGCAAAUAAUAAACAUUUACACAAGAAACAUUAUACAGAGAACACAGAAUUGAACAUGUUCUGAAGGCAUUUAAGUCACAAUUUAAAGCUGGGUAGAGAGAAAACGCUCAAAAACAUGCCUUCAACUUUCCCUGUGGGGAAACAAGCCUGCUGCUUGUUAACUUUCUCCAGGCAAAGUUAAUGGCUUCCUCUUCCAUAUUCUCAUAAUGCUCUGUCUACAUUGUAUUUCUUCUCACUGUGUUUUGUGUAUAUCCAGUGGCCUCUCAGCAAUCCCUCUGGACUGAGACCUCGAGAUCAGGAACUCAAAUUUUGUAUAUCCUCAGUAUUUAGCAUAACAAUUGCCACAUAGUAGGUGUGUUACUGUUGUUUGUUUUAUGAAUAAAUGGAUGCUGAACAACAUCUCCUUUUUAUCCCUACAAUAAAACUAUGAUGUAAAUAAUAUUAUUGUUCCUCCUUUAAAGAUGAGCCAAUUGGCAUAUUCCAGGUCACAUAGCUAGUUAGUUGCAGGGGCAGGGUCCUAAAACUUUCAGGUACCAAACACAUGGUUUGGAACAAAGGAAAGACAUUGCCUCUUAGGGAACAGAUGAACUAAUGAAGCCAUCUCUCAGGUCCAAUCCAGGUCAACGAGUGGCCGUUUAUCAAAGUCCCAGAGUUGCUAAGAUUUGGUUUCAAAUCUUUUCUUUAUUCCACUAUCUCUGGGGGUUCUUUUCAAUGAGGCAGAAUUGUAAAGAGGGGCCCGAUGUGGUGGCCUGCAUCUAUAAUUCCAGCACUUUGGGAGGCCGAGAAGGGUGGAUCACUUGAGCUCAGAAGUUU
rnacentral:lncRNA from 1 species